AGGUGAGUAGCUCAACUGGCUAGAGCACCGGACUCCAAAUCCGGGGGUUGCGGGUUCAAGUCCUGCCUCACCUGCCA
rnacentral:tRNA from 1 species